CCUACGGGAGGCUGCAGUGGGGAAUAUUGCACAAUGGGGGAAAGCCUGAUGCAGCAACGCCGCGUGAGCGAUGAAGGCCUUCGGGUCGUAAAGCUCUGUCCUCAGGGAAGAUAAUGACGGUACUUGAGGAGGAAGCCCCGGCUAACUACGUGCCAGCAGCCGCGGUAAUACGUCGGGGGCUAGCGUUAUCCGGAUUUACUGGGCGUAAGGGGGGCGUAGGGGGUUUCUUAAGUCAGAGUUGAACGGCGACGGCUCAACCGAAAUAAGCCUGUGUAACUGGGGAGCUUGAGUGCAGGAGAGGAGGGUGGAAUUCCUAGGGUAGCGGUGAAAUGCGUAGAUAUUAGGAGGAACACCAGUUGCGAAGGCGGCUCGCUGGACUGUAACUGACACUGAGGCACGAAAGCGUGGGGAGCAAACAGGAUUAGAUACCCGGGUAGUC
rnacentral:rRNA from 1 species